rnacentral:rRNA from 1 species
GCACAAGCGGUGGAGCAUGUGGUUUAAUUCGACGCAACGCGAAGAACCUUACCAACCUUUGACAUGUCCAGUAUGGGUUUAGGAGACUAGAUCCUUCAGUUCGGCUGGCUGGAACACAGGUGCUGCAUGGCUGUCGUCAGCUCGUGUCGUGAGAUGUUGGGUUAAGUCCCGCAACGAGCGCAACCCUCAUCUUCAGUUGCCCCCGGGUUAUGCCGGGCACUCUGAAGAAACCGCCGGUGACAAGCCGGAGGAAGGCGGGGAUGACGUCAAGUCCUCAUGGCCCUUACAGGUUGGGCUACACACGUACUACAAUGGUGGUGACAGUGGGCUGCGAAGGAGCGAUCCGGAGCUAAUCCCCAAAAACCAUCUCAGUUCAGAUUGCACUCUGCAACUCGAGUGCAUGAAGUUGGAAUCGCUAGUAAUCGCAGAUCAGCACGCUGCGGUGAAUACGUUCCCGGGC